rnacentral:rRNA from 1 species
AUUCCAGCUCCAAUAGCGUAUACUAAAGUUGUUGCAGUUAAAAAGCUCGUAGUUGAAUUUCUGGUCGUGGCGACCGGUCCGCCCCUCACGGGGUGUGCACCUGGUCUCUGCGUCCAUCCUCGGGGAGAGCGCGUCUGGCAUUCAGUUGUCGGGCGCGGGAUCCUCGUCAUUUACUGUGAGCAAAAUAGAGUGUUCAAAGCAGGCUUAGGCCGUUGAAUACAUUAGCAUGGAAUAAUAAGAUAGGACUUUGGUGGUCUAUUUUGUUGGUUUGCACACCAAGGUAAUGAUUAAUAGGGACAGUUGGGGGUAUCCGUAUUUCGUAGUCAGAGGUGAAAUUCUUGGAUUUACGAAAGACGAACUACUGCGAAAGCAUUUACCAAGGAUGUUUUCAUUA